rfam:Triticum aestivum genome assembly, contig: Triticum_aestivum_CS42_TGACv1_scaffold_159888_2DL
CAUGUACUCCGUCCGAUUCCGAAUUACUUGUCGUAGGUAUGGAUGUAUCUAGAUGUAUUUUACUUCUAGAUACAUCCAUUUCUGCAACGAGUAAUUUGGAACGGAGGGAGUAGGAA